AUGGCUCGAACCAAGUGUACAGCUCGUAACUCCACUGGAGGGAAGGCUCCUACCAAGAACCUUAGGGCUUUUAAAUCAAAAUUAUUUGUUUUGCGACGAGAGGCUGCCGCUCGUAAAACAGCUCCAGCAAUUGGAGGAGUCAAGAAGCCCCGCAGAUAUCGCCCUGGAACUGUUGCUCUUCGUGAAAUUCGCAAGUAUCAGAAGGGCACCGAGUUGCUCAUAAAGAAGCUACCUUUUCAAAGGCUCGUCAGGGAGAUUGCUCAAGUUUUCAAGAUUGAUCUGCGCUUCCAAAGCCAUGCGGUGCUUGCUUUGCAGGAGGCAGCGGAAGCAUACCUUGUGGGACUAUUUGAGGACACCAAUCUAUGUGCCGUUCAUGCGAAGCGCGUGACCAUUAUGUCCAAAGAUGUUCAUCUGGCUAGGAGGAUCCGUGGCGAGAGGAUGUAA
rnacentral:rRNA from 1 species